CCUGGGCUCUGCCUCCUGGGCUCUGCCUCCUGGGCUCUGCCACCUGGGCUCUGCCACCUGGGCUCUGCCUCCUGGGCUCUGCCUCCUGGGCUCUGCCUCCUGGGCUCUGCCUCCUGGGCUCUGCCUCCUGGGCUCUGCCUCCUGGGCUCUGCCUCCUGGGCUCUGCCUCCUGGGCUCUGCCUCCUGGGCUCUGCCACCUGGGCUCUGCAACCAUGGAUGAAAUAAGAAGAUGACUAAAUCACCUGCAGGUGACCAUGAUGGCUGAGCACUGAUGCUGCCGUGACUUCAUGAGGAUGUCUCACUUCAAGGCAUCAGUCUGCCCAUCUAAUCCGAUGUCCUUGGGACGCAGAGGCUCCAUGUUCCUGUUUCGAGAACUUUGAUAAGCUGAACAUCCGGACCGCUCACUACACGCCGCUGCCCUACGGCAGCAACCCUCUGAAGAGGAACAGGACUAUGUCAGGUUGAACCUGAAAUAGGAGCUCUACCUCCUGGGCUCUGCAACAUGGAUGUCUGCACAGAAAGCAGGUCUUUAGUAACAUUGAAGAUGAAAAGGCGAAACAUGAAGAAGUCACAUGCAGGUGUUGGAUAACGCUGACGCAGAGAGGAAUAAGAAGAUGACUGAAUACGCUCCAUGUUCCUGCUUUGAGGUGCAGCGGUGAAGGAGGACAGGAGGAUGGUGAAGGAGGACAGGAGGAUGGUGAAGGAGGACAGGAGGAUGGUGAAGGAGGACAGGAGGAUGGUGAAGGAGGACAGGAGGAUGUAACGACUGGACAAAGUGCUCUUUAAGUGCAGUCUGUUUCUCAUGUCUGAGUUCUCUGUCAAGGAUCUCUUACAAACUGACCAGCUGAAUGUUUUCUCUCUUAACAAUUGUUGAAAUAAAACAUCUUACACAGAACAA